UACGAAGGGGGCUAGCGUUGCUCGGAAUCACUGGGCGUAAAGCGCACGUAGGCGGACUCUUAAGUCGGGGGUGAAAUCCUGGAGCUCAACUCCAGAACUGCCUUCGAUACUGGAGAUCUUGAGUCCGGGAGAGGUGAGUGGAAUUGCGAGUGUAGAGGUGAAAUUCGUAGAUAUUCGCAAGAACACCAGUGGCGAAGGCGGCUCACUGGCCCGGAACUGACGCUGAGACGCGAAAGCGUGGGGAGCAAACAGG
rnacentral:rRNA from 1 species